rnacentral:siRNA from 1 species
CUGCCGUGAUCGUGGUCUGC